rnacentral:lncRNA from 1 species
CAAUGGAACCAAUUAAAUAACCACCGCACUUGAAACACUCCUUAGACAUCAAUUAAUUAAUCGAUUUAAGAAAAUAGGUUAGCUUUUGGUUCACAAUACUACGACUUAAUAUGAUUUUUAUGAGAGCUUUAAUGGUCUCAAAUACAUCCUAAUUUAAUUAGUCAUAAUGAUGCACUAUAAUAGUUGUAUCUUAAUAAUCAUAACAACUAAUUAUGGCAUCUUAUCAUAUCUCUAAGAUAUAGAAGCAGAAUCAUAUAAUAUGAUUAUAACUAAACAUCUCAAGCAUAUCAUAUAUGCAUGAAGUUCUAAUAAUAUGCAUGAAUAUAAAACUCUUUUUUUGUGGUUCUUCUUCUUGAAACAUCACAGUGGCACCCCUACACACCAAAAGAGUACCCUAUUGAAUAGGAAGAGAGGGUCUCUGAACCCUACUUGCUCU